rnacentral:lncRNA from 1 species
UAAGACGCUUGCACCAUUCUAAAAAUUUGUUGAAUAUGACAUAGGUUAUAUGACUAAUUACAUCAGAGAGUUCACAUAUAUGCUUUAAAUAAAAAUAAUAAUGUGCGAUGUGAACUAGCACAAUUUUAAAGCUUUAACGGUGUCGAUAUUAUGAUGUUACAAGAAAGAUUGCGUCAAUAAGAAUUCCAAAUAAACAGCACUGAACGGUCUAAAUUUCUAAAUAUUUCAGAUUUGACAACUGUAGUGUAGUUAGAUUAGAGUCUGCGAUGUUUAAAACAAACGGCCGUUAAAAUAUAAUAACAAAUUUUGACUAAAGUAAAAUAGUUGGACGUGGCUUGGUACUUAUACAUCCCUCAAAAAAUUAAGCAAUUUAAAUUGUUAUAUUCAACAGAUUUAUUUUAGAGAUGAGUAAGGUAAAGAAAUAGAAACGGAGACUGUAAUAAUAAGUAAUAUAACCCAGAUGUGAAGCACUGCAUGGUGUCGAACUACAUCUUUUCAUUUAUCCCAUUUGGUGCCAAAGUUGUUAAUUUUCUAAUCCAAAAUCUUUCCCGAGUAAGUCUAUCCUCCCUAGACCAAGCAGAGUUGUGGUCAAUGAUAGUAAUGGUCAGUCGAUUGAGAUCUGCCUUAGUGUGGCCAGGGGAUCUCAAAUGUCGACUAAGAGGGAGGUCUGGCUUGCAUUGGUAGUCGCUACGAUGACCGUUCAUUCGUUUGUGAAACGGCUGUUCUGACUCGCCUACAUACUGUUUACCACAUUUACACUGUAGGAGAUACACAACAUUUGUAGUCUUGCAAUUAACAUUGCAAAAUAUGGUGUAUUCUGUACCAGUGGAGUGACUGUUAAAAGUCUGGGUAUCCAGUAUUUGUUUGCAAGUCAGACAUCGUUUGUUUCCACAACCCUUACAAGAGCCCACUGACGAAGAGCCUGCUUGAGAGGAUAACUCAGCUCUCACCAGCAAGUCUUUAAGGCUUUUGGGCCUGCGGAAAGCCAGUACAGGUGGCUCGGGAAAGAUCUUGGAUAGUUUAGGAUGUUUUUCGAUAUCUUUCCAACUUUCGCGGAUAAGGUGAGACAAGUUGUCAAAUUUUGGAUUGUAAGUCAACACAAAAGGCACCCUCCUGUUGACCUUUUUGACUUUAUAUUGUAAAAGUUCAUCUCGGCUGAUGUUGCUAGCACGAGAAAAACCUUUAUCAAUGUCUUUCCUUUUGUAGCCUCGAUGUUUUAGGUGACCGCGAAGUUCUUGUAGUCGUUUUUUGGCAACAUCGUUGGUGGAGCAAAUCCUUUUUAUUCGUAUGGCCUGGCUGUAGGGAAUGCUCUUGGUGCAAUGUUUAGGGUGACAACUUGAAGGAGACAGAUAUUGAUGUUUGUCUGUGGGCUUGCAAUACAGAUCUGUAAAUAUGUUUCCAUCCCUCACUUGCGUUGUAGUGUCAAGAAAUGUGAUCUUAGAGUCAGAGAUUUCAUAUGUGAAUUUUAUUGAGGGAUGGGCAUCGUUGGCAUGUUGAAUAAACAAAUCUAGUUCUUGUUCAGUAUUAUCCCACUUCAUGUCAAUAUCGUCAAUAAAUCGGAACCAAGAGAGGGGUUGAUAAAGAAAAGAAUUGAGAAUUCUCUGUUCUAAUUUCCCCAUAAAAAUAUUGGCAUAAGACGGGGCCAUCUUUGUUCCCAUUGCUGUUCCAUUAACUUGGAGAAAGUGUUCACCAUUG